rnacentral:rRNA from 1 species
AUGAACGCUGGCGGCGUGCCUAAUACAUGCAAGUCGAGCGAACAGACGAGGAGCUUGCUCCUCUGACGUUAGCGGCGGACGGGUGAGUAACACGUGGAUAACCUACCUAUAAGACUGGGAUAACUUCGGGAAACCGGAGCUAAUACCGGAUAAUAUAUUGAACCGCAUGGUUCAAUAGUGAAAGACGGUUUUGCUGUCACUUAUAGAUGGAUCCGCGCCGCAUUAGCUAGUUGGUAAGGUAACGGCUUACCAAGGCGACGAUGCGUAGCCGACCUGAGAGGGUGAUCGGCCACACUGCAACUGAGACACGGUCCAGACUCCUACGGGAGGCAGCAGUAGGGAAUCUUCCGCAAUGGGCGAAAGCCUGACGGAGCAACGCCGCGUGAGUGAUGAAGGUCUUCGGAUCGUAAAACUCUGUUAUUAGGGAAGAACAAAUGUGUAAGUAACUAUGCACGUCUUGACGGUACCUAAUCAGAAAGCCACGGCUAACUACGUG